rnacentral:rRNA from 1 species
GAUGAACGCUGGCGGCGUGCUUAAUACAUGCAAGUCGAACGAAGGAACUACGACAGUUCUUUUCGGAUUUUAGCUGCUGAUGGCUGAGUAACGGAUGGGUGAGUUACCUGUAGGUAACGUGUCAUGUCCUGGGGGCUAGCCGAUGGAAACAGCAGGUUAUACACCAUAAGGUUCAAAAGUUACAUGACGUCGUGCUGAAACCUAUGGUGGUAUAGGCUGGACAUGCGUUAGUUGAGAAAGUAGGGGAGAUAACAGCCCACCAAGGCGACGAUCAGUAGACGAGCUGUGAGGGUGAGCGGCGACACUGAGACUGAGACACGGCCCAGACUCCUACGGGAGGGAGGAGUGCGGAAUAUUGCACAAUGGAGUAAACUCUGAUGCAGCGACGCCGCGUGAGUGAAGAAGUAAGUCGUGAUGUAAAGCUCUAUCAGCAGGGAAGAUAGUGACGGUACCUGACUAAGAAGCUCCGGCUAAAUACGUG